rnacentral:misc_RNA from 1 species
AACAUCGCGCACCUGCGGGAACCUGCGGAAGGAUCAUUACCGAGUUUACAACUCCCAAACCCCUGUGAACAUACCUAUACGUUGCCUCGGCGGAUCAGCCCGCGCCCUGUAAAAAGGGACGGCCCGCCCGAGGACCCUAAACUCUGUUUUUAGUGGAACUUCUGAGUAAAACAAACAAAUAAAUCAAAACUUUUAACAAUGGAUCU